UACGGAAGGCAGCAGUGGGGAAUAUUGCACAAUGGGCGAAAGCCUGAUGCAGCUAUGCCGCGUGUAUGAAGAAGGCCUUAGGGUUGUAAAGUACUUUCAUCGGGGAGGAAAAACAAAACUAAUAAUUUUAUUUCUUGACGUUACCCGAAAAAGAAGCACCGGCUAACUCCGUGCCAGCAGCCGUGGUAAUACGGAGGGUGCUAGCGUUAAUCAGAAUUACUGGGCGUAAAGAGCACGUAGGUGGUUUUUUUAAGUCAGAUGUGAAAUCCCUGGGCUUAACCUAGGAACUGCAUUUUGAAACUGAAAUACUAGAGUAUCGUAGAGGGAGGUAGAAUUCUAGGUGUAGCGGUGAAAUGCGUAGAUAUCUGGAGGAAUACCUGUGGCGAAAGCGGCCUCCUAAACGAAUACUGACACUGAGGUGCGAAAGCGUGGGGAGCAAACAGGGAUUAGAU
rnacentral:rRNA from 1 species